rnacentral:rRNA from 1 species
GAUGAACGCUGGCGGCGUGCCUAAUACAUGCAAGUCGAGCGAACAGACGAGGAUCUUGCUCCUCUGACGUUAGCGGCGGACGGGUGAGUAACACGUGGAUAACCUACCUAUAAGACUGGGAUAACUUCGGGAAACCGGAUCUAAUACCGGAUCAUAUAUUGAACCGCAUGGUUCAAUAGUGAAAGACGGUUUUGCUGUCACUUAUAGAUGUAUCCGCGCCGCAUUAGCUAGUUGGUAAGGUAACGGCUUACCAAGGCAACGAUGCGUAGCCGACCUGAGAGGGUGAUCGGCCACACUGGAACUGAGACACGGUCCAGACUCCUACGGGAGGCAGCAGUAGGGAAUCUUCCGCAAUGGGCGAAAGCCUGACGGAGCAACGCCGCGUGAGUGAUGAAGGUCUUCGGAUCGUAAAACUCUGUUAUUAGGGAAGAACAAAUGUGUAAGUAACUAUGCACGUCUUGACGGUACCUAAUCAGAAAGCCACGGCUAACUACGUG